AAUUUUGGAUAAUGGGCGAAAGCCUGAUGCAGCAACGCCGCGUGAGUGAUGAAGGCCUUCGGGUCGUAAAGCUCUUUGUUCAGGGCUGAUAAUGACAGUACCUGUAAAACAGGCCACGGCGAACUAAGUGCCAGCAUCCGCGGUAAUAAGCAGGUGGCGAGCGUUGUCCGGACUUACUGGGCGUAAAGGUUGCGUAGGUGGAUACUUAAGUGGGAAGUGAAAUCCCCGGGCUCAACCCGGGAACUGCAUUCUAAACUGGGUAUCUAGAGUGCAGGAGAGGAAAGCGGAAUUCCUAGUGUAGCGGUGAAAUGCGUAGAUAUUAGGAGGAACGCCAGUGGCGAAGGCGGCUUUCUGGACUGUAACUGACACUGAGGCAUGAAAGCGUGGGUAGCAAACAGG
rnacentral:rRNA from 1 species